rnacentral:rRNA from 1 species
GACGAACGCUGGCGGCGUGCUUAACACAUGCAAGUCGAACGAAGUGGCGAACGGGUGAGUAACGCGUAAUCAACCUGCACUUCAGAGGUGGACAACAGUUGGAAACGACUGCUAAUACCGCAUACUGAAGGAGGGGCUUGCGUCUGCUUAGCUAGUUGGAGGGGUAACGGCCCAACAAGGCGAUGAUCAGUAGCCGGUCUGAGAGGAUGAACGGCCACUGUGGGACUGAGACACGGCCCAGACUCCUACGGGAGGCAGCAGUGGGGAAUCUUCCGCAAUGGACGAAAGUCUGACGGAGCAACGCCGCGUGAGUGAUGACGGCCUUCGGGUUGUAAAGCUCUGUUAAUCGGGACGCGGUACCGGAAUAGAAAGCCACGGCUAACUACGUGCCAGCAGCCGCGGUAAUUC